rnacentral:rRNA from 1 species
GACGAACGCUGGCGGCGUGCUUAACACAUGCAGGUCGAGCGGUAAGGCCCUUUCGGGGGUACGACGAGCGGCGAACGGGUGAGUAACACGUGGGUGACCUGCCCUCAGCUCUGGGAUAAGCCUGGGAAACCGGGUCUAAUACUGGAUAUGACUCCAUGACGCAUGUUGUGGGGUGGAAAGCCUUGUGCGGCUGAGGAUGGGCCCGCGGCCUAUCAGCUUGUUGGUGGGGUGAGGCCUACCAAGGCGACGACGGGUAGCCGGCCUGAGAGGGCGACCGGCCACACUGGGACUGAGACACGGCCCAGACUCCUACGGGAGGCAGCAGUGGGGAAUCUUGCGCAAUGGGCGAAAGCCUGACGCAGCGACGCCGCGUGAGGGAUGACGGCCUGGUGUAACU